UCCUCUCUACAGAACAGAGGCCCAUUCUACCCAGCACACACAUUUGCACAGAGCAGGGUCCCCAGGCCUCCGCAAUGUUGGCCCCUGCCUCCGGGCCCCACCUGCCUCCUUACCUGCUGCUGGCUCUGCUGUUGGGACUCACAGGUGUGGCAGGUGAGGCGGAGCUGCAGGUGAUCCAGCCGGAGAAGCUGGUGUCUGUCACAGCCGGAGAGACAGCCACUCUGCACUGCACCCUGACCUCCCUGGUCCCCGUUGGGAAAAUCAGGUGGUUCAGGGGGACGGGGCCAGACCGGGAGUUAAUCUUCAGUUUCGGAGGAGGCCACUUUCCCCGCGUAACAAAUGUUUCAGACACCACAAGAAGAAACAACAUGGACUUUUCCAUCCGCAUCAGUAACAUCACCCCAGCAGACGCUGGAACCUACUACUGUGUGAAGUUCCAGAAAGGGGCCCCUGAGGUGGAGUUUAAGUCUGGACCAGGCACCCAGGUCACCGUGAGCGCCAAACCCUCUCCCCCCGUGGUGUCGGGCCCCACGGCCAGGGCCACACCUGAGCAGACUGUGAGCUUCACCUGCGAGUCCCACGGCUUCUCCCCCAGAAACGUCACCCUGAAAUGGUUCAAAAACGGGAAGGAGCUGGCAGCCUCCCAGACCACCGUGGACCCAGAGGGAGACAGCGCUUCCUACAGCAUCUCCAGCACAACCACGCUGCCGCUGGCCCCGGGGGACGUUCGCUCCCAGGUCAUCUGCGAGGUGGCCCACGUGACCCUGCAGGGGGGCCCUCCUCUUCGUGGGACUGCCAACUUGUCCGAGACCCUCCGAGUUCCACCCACCUUGGAGGUUGCCCAGCAACCCAUGACAGGGAACCAGGUGAAGGUCAUUUGCCAAGUGAAGAAGUUCUACCCCCAGCGCCUACAGCUGACCUGGUUGGAGAACGGACACGUGUCCCGAACAGAAACGGCCUCGACGGCCUCGAACCUCAUAGAGAACAAGGAUGGGACCUUUAACUGGACGAGCUGGCUCCUGGUGAAUUUAUCCGCCCACAGGGAAGAUGUGGUUUUCACCUGCCAGGUGCAGCAAGACGGGCAGCCCGAGGUCACCAAAACCCAUACCCUUGUGGUCUCUGCCCACCAGAAGGACCAGGAAGCCCAUACGACCCACGAUCUAGAACUGUCCACUCCACUCCUGGUGGCUCUCUACCUGGGUCCCAAGCUGCUACUGCUGCUCGUCACUGUCUCAGUCAUCUAUGUCCACAGGAAGUAAUGGAUUGGCUGUGAGUUAUGGACAAGGAAGACAGGGCAAGGUCAGUCCAAGAAAGAGCCAGAUCAGCAAGAGGGGCAGCCCACAGGUCAUACAGGGUCACUGCCCACUUGGAGUAAAGAGCAGGUGUCCCAGGAGGAAAAUAGCACCCAGGACAAAGGAGACACGUGGAGAACAUUUCUGGAAUGAUGCGCAGAUAAUGAAAUGUGAACAUGGGUCCACAGCUCCUUCCUUCCUCCCCUGCCACAUGCCAUCCUCGGUCUCUGCUGCCUCCUUCCUUCCCUGAGGGGCCCAGCCUAAGACAAGGAACAACUAGAAGCUUCCACAAAUCUGCCCCAAAUGUUGGCUUCCCCAGAGACCCACCUGCCCACAGUUCCUGCCACUCCUCUCCCAGUCCUUGAUGCCCCCAGAGCUGGUCUUCAUACCUGGUCCUGAGCAGGGCAAUAGAAUGUCUCUGGAGACUGACACAUGGAUAUCCUACUAGAAUGUGAGAAACAAGUCACAUGUACGCACACCAGGCUAUCUCGUAUCCUUCUCCUGGGGACCAUGGUCAUGAAGUACACACUCAAGUCCAUGUUCUCACAGGUUAUUCCUGCCAACCCUCAGACUCCUAAGCCUUGGUGAGUUCUCCAAUGUCUCUCGAAUACAAAUGAAUCCCAUCCUGGUUGGAAGAAGAGAAGGGAUUUUCCUCCCUCUUUGCCUACAUGUCCUUCUACUCAGACCCACAGAGGAAUAUCUCUUCCUCUCCCUGUGAUGGGAACACUACCUCUUCUGUCACCUUCAUCCUUCCCGACCUCGUUGCUCAUGUACACGUGCUGGCAGUCCAGAAACCUGGACCCUUCCCUGAUUUCCUUCUUCGUAUCCCGUGUUCAAUUCUGCCUUCAUAAAGCUAUGUGCAGUGGUGACAUGGUAAAUGUUCAACAAUCCACUUCUCAGGAGGAAAAAGAAGACCGAUUUGUAGUGCUUGUCCACUUCGGUGGUGUCUACACUCCCAACGUGGCCAAUUUCAAGCUGCCAACAGUGGAACAACUAGCUUGCAAAAUUCCUGGAAAGCUCUCAGGAGCGAGGGCAAGCCUCCUCCCGCCCACCAGGGAGCUCCACCCAACACCUGCACACUGCUCGCUCCCGGGCUGCCCCCUGGUCCCGGCCACCAGCAUCCCUUCCUGGACCAUUGCCGCGUCCCUAACAGACUCUCCGGGUUCCGCCACAGUGACCCUUUGGAAAUGGAGGUCAAAUUGUCUCCCUUCUGUGCUUCUUCCCCCUACAGAUGUGCAUGGCUCGGUCUCUCCCCUUUCAAGCUCUGCUGAUAUGUCUCUUUAUGAAAAGCACCUUCCAAAAACCACCCCAUGUAAAAUAUCAAUUCCACUCUCUCACUCUGCAUUCCCACAGCUCAUACCUGAAUUGAACUACUUCCCUAGAACUUAAGAUCAGCCAACUUGAUAAAUGGAAACAGUGCUCACUUUGCACAGUGAUGCAGGACCAAAACAAUGACGGUGCAGCUGAAACCAUGAAAAGUGAUGCCAGUAAUCAGUGGGAAAAGUAAUGAUUUUUCUGUGACCUUUAGAAACCUUUUUCAACAUCUCAGAAACCCUCCAACAGUCAGUUAUGAAUGUAUCGGGACAUAAAAAAAAACAGUAAAACUAUUAUUCACUUGGUAUAUGGGCUUUUGAAACAUUAGAAACGUUGAAAAGAGAAGAGUUUUAUUUGUUUGCAAAGACUUAUCAAGAGUAGUUUGCAGAGGGCCUGCCUUCCUCUGAUGGCACAGUUUACAAUAGAGAGCAAGUGUCUGGAUUAUCUCCCUCCUUUCUCACUUGGGAUCAGCUUCCAACACUCCAUCCUUGGCACUUCCGAUGCUGUGAAAUCUUUACAACAUUAAUGUGAAUAUUUGCUGGCAUCACUUCCUCCGGGACAUUGUCACCCUACCUUCCUCCCCCACUUUCCUCAGCGACGUGGUAAGUUUAUCCUCACUCUCCUCCUCUGGCUGCAUAUCUGGAUGCUUGGGAACAGUAUCCCGGGCCGCAUUCCCAUGAAGGUCUCUGUGCCUUCAUGAACCCCACUCCCAUUGAGUUUGACCUUUACCUCCAGCUUCUUCUCUUCUCGUUUUUCCUGUACCCCUUCAGCUUUAUGCCCAUUCCCUUCUGCCAUUUUUUUCACCUUUGUAUGUUAUGCAGGUUCAUCGGGGGGGAGACCAGGAGACCACACAACCAUCUGCUUUGCUAUUGUGGGAAGUGCAUCUCACAACCCUAAUUAUCCUUGCACCCUGAUCUCAGAUUUUCAUGCCCAGAACUGUGAGAAAUUAGUUCCUGUUGUACAAGGCAUCCAGUUUAUGGUGUUUUCUUAUAGUAGCCCAAGUCAAGACAAAAUCUAAAUAAAUUAUGGACUUUGCUAAAUAAUAAUGUACCAACAUGGGUUCAUUAAAUUAUAGUAGAUGUACCAUACUACUGUAAGACGUCAAUAAGAUGGGAAGCUGUGUGCAGCUGUAUAUUGGAACUCUGUAUGAUUGUCCCAAGUUUUUUCUAAAUGUAAAACUGUUACACAAAUUAAGGCCAUUAAAAAAAAGUCAACAUCUUGUCCUCA